UACGGGGGGGGCAAGCGUUGUUCGGAAUUACUGGGCGUAAAGGGCGCGUAGGCGGCCUUCUAAGUCAGACGUGAAAUCCCACGGCUUAACCGUGGAACUGCGUCUGAUACUGGAGGGCUUGAAUCCGGGAGAGGGAUGUGGAAUUCCAGGUGUAGCGGUGAAAUGCGUAGAUAUCUGGAGGAACACCGGUGGCGAAGGCGGCAUCCUGGACCGGUAUUGACGCUGAGACGCGAAAGCGUGGGGAGCGAACAGG
rnacentral:rRNA from 1 species